rnacentral:lncRNA from 1 species
GAGUGCAGUCGCCGCCUGUCCCGAGACCUGGGCGUCUGUGCAGGGGCCCCCAGCUCCUGAGCCUGGGUCAGCGGCAGCGCUCCUGGACGAAGGCCUCAGGCUGAGCACCUGAGGAGGCGUGGGGGCGGGGGCGGGGAGAUACGGUCCAGCGUCCCAAUCUACCCGCGUCCACGGGAGUAGCAAGGGCACCCACGUUCCCUUGUCCCGCCGGGAACUUCCGUGCGACUGUUGUUUAAAAAUGAGGAAAGCUUUUUAUCAGUUUCUCGUGUUUCUGCUGCUUAGCCUGGCAGGCUCUCACGAACGAAACCCUGUUAAUUAAUGGUCGUUAAUUACACUCCAUUCCACAAACACUGAACUUAAUUACGGAUUUCCAGAAAGCCAGCAUAGCCUCUUGCAAGUGAGGUAUGUAAAGCUUAACUUAGUAGUCAAAGAAAGGAUUCGCAGGGCAAAGAAUUGGCAGUGAUCGUUUUAAAUCAAGUCAGAAUAAUCGAAGCCUUAUUCCCAGUUUGUUAGCUGCGGUUGUAUGAUUUAGAAACACUGAUUUGUUGAUUUAGGAUGUUUGGAUAGACAUAAUUUCAGAGCUGGAAGAAGGACCGCACACCGGUGAAAUAAGGCCCCGCGUGCUUGUUUGCCACUGGUGUGUUUCAUCAAGCCUUGACAACACUGGACUGAGAGAGAGGGCCUUGAGGACAGGAACCUUGACCUUUUUCUUAGUGUUCUUAUUUCUAGCACCUUGCCAAGCAGAUAGUAGUCGAUCAAUAAAAUGUCCAAUCAGUGAAUGAAUAGCAGACGAAAUGAGCAAAGUGCCCAGAGAAGUGACUCUUCCAUAUUUCAAGUGUUUCAUGUGCUACAGAAUCUGUUGAACAAGGUGAAGUUUAAGUGCAUUGUGUGGACUUACAACUUACAAGGGAAGCCAGCUGCCAUGUUAUGAGGACACACAAGCU